CCGAGCUGAGAUGGGAGGGAGACAAAAAAUAAAAUAAAAAAGAAACGUGGAAUAUGAAAAUGAUAUGAAAAGUAUAGGAUAUGUUAAUCACUUUUUAUUGUGUGGGAAUUUCUGCGAUUGCUCCAGAAAAUGCUAUAGAAAUGGUUGUAAGAGCCGCUGAGUGGUCGAAACAUUAACGUUAAUAAAAGAAAUAUUACAAAUCCUGGCCAACAUGGACAAAUUGAGAACAUCAUAAUAUGAAGGAAUAACUUUACCCAGAGUUCCCUGCAUCUUUAAGGAAAAACACAGCAAAUUAAAAAUUAAUGGGGAAUGUUUGUCAUUCGAAAGAACAUUCUUUGGCAUUUGGCCGCUGCUACGUCUCAGAGAGUCCAUCCGUUGAGUCCAAUUUUCGCUGACUCAAUCGAGCAGUUCGACACGUGUGAUGUUUUGCUUCAAGGUCUAAAUCAAAGGGGGAUAUCAGACGAUCUUAAUGGCCAAUUGGCCGACCCAAA